GCUCCUGCGGAGGAAGCAAGCUGAUGGCAGGCGAGCGGCCCAGGGAGGCAAGCCGAGGGAGAGCCGAGGCACCAGUUCCUGAGCAUUUCCUAGAAAACUACUCUUCGGUUUUCUGUCAAAACAGAGAGUAGCAGUGGAGGGACCAACCCCAGAGGACCUCUUCGGCGAAAGAAACUCUGACUUUGGGAGUUGCCCCAUUGGGAGGACGGCGCGCAACCCGUGGAGAGGCCCACACGGGUGGAUAGGAAGUGCUUCUGCCUCCUGCCAACAGCCUCUCGAGCAGGACUGGGAGCAGGUCCUCCACUGCCAGCUGAAUCUUGACGUGACUGCAGCAGCAGCCAACAGCUUGACCCGCCUUGAGCCCCAGGCCCUCAGGACUGUGCGGUCUGCUCACUUUUGCCAGAUUACUGCUACAUCCAACUCCAGCUCCAAGUUCAUGAAUUCAAGCGAUAGCUCUGCUGAUAAAUUCUUCAGUGGGUUUCACGUACCGUCUUUCUUCCAGCCUCCACAUACGGUACUCGGUACUCGUUUUGGAUUGUCUUCUCUUAACAUUGUUUAACCAUCUGUUAACCCAGCCUCCUGCCCAAGGGGCUUCGUGGGGAGGAAUGAUUUGAAGUUUCUGCCGAAGUGCUUUACAGUUGGGGAUAGUCCAUUAAUUGUUGAUUUUGUUUGUAUUCAGCAUUCUGCUUCUGUCUGUGGUUUUAAUUGAUGUGAACGUGCCCAGGGGCUUGUGCUGGA